AAAGUUAGCGGGUUAAUCUUCCACUAGUUUUUACUACACGUGCGUUACAUGCGAUUUUGGCCUUAUUUGGUUCAAACUCUCUGCAUCUGAAAGUGAACUUCCCCAAAGUAACUUAAGAAGUGAUGAAGUGUUUCUUUCCCUUCUUCCAGGAAGGAAGUUGAGAUAAAAUGCCAACCAAACAAUGCAGGCAUGGCUGAGAUGACUGG
rnacentral:misc_RNA from 1 species